GAAAAAGAGGGCAUGAGCGGAAGAAAGGAGGUCAGCGAAGAGUGAGUUUUGGAGAAGAAAUGGUUUUAACCACGGAAUUCCGAAGUUCCCCGUGUGGGCUGGGGUGCUGUCCCAGGAAACUGGCCAGUUCUAGUGGGUCCACCCAGCUUAUCCCUUCU
rnacentral:lncRNA from 1 species